rnacentral:rRNA from 1 species
GUUGGGUUAAGUCCCGCAACGAGCGCAACCCUCGUCCUAUGUUGCCAGCGGAUAAUGCCGGGGACUCAUAGGAGACUGCCGGGGUCAACUCGGAGGAAGGUGGGGAUGACGUCAAGUCAUCAUGCCCCUUAAGUCCAGGGCUUCACGCAUGCUACAAUGGCUGGUACAAAGGGCUGCAAAACCGCAAGGUCGAGCGAAUCCCAAAAAGCCAGUCUCAGUUCGGAUUGGGGUCUGCAACUCGACCCCAUGAAGUCGGAGUCGCUAGUAAUCGCAGAUCAGCAACGCUGCGGUGAAUACGUUCCCGGGCCUUGUACACACCGCCCGUCAAGUCAUGAAAGUCGGUAACACCCGAAGCCGGUGGCCCAACCCUUGGGAGGGAGCCGUCGAAGGUGGGACUGGCGAUUAGGACUAAGUCGUAACAAGGUAAAUA